AUUGCACGCUGGCGGCAGGCCUAACACAUGCAAGUCGAGCGGAGCGGCGGACGGGUGAGUAAUGCCUAGGAAUCUGCCUGGUCGUGGGGGAUAACGUCCGGAAACGGGCGCUAAUACCGCAUACUAUCAGAUGAGCCUAGGUCGGCUUAGCUAGUUGGUGGGGGAAAGGCCUACCAAGGCGCCGAUCCGUAACUGGUCUGAGAGGAUGAUCAGUCACACUGGAACGGAGACACGUUCCAGACUCCUACGGUAGGCAGCAGUGGGGAAUAUUGGACAAUGGGCGAAAGCCUGAUCCAGCCAUGCCGCGUGCAGGAUGAAGGUCUUCGGAUUGUAAACUGCUUUUGUCAGGGAAGCGGUACCUGAAGAAUAAGCACCGGCUAACUACGUGCCAGCAGCCGCGGUAAUAC
rnacentral:rRNA from 1 species